GACGAACGCUGGCGGCGUGCCUAACACAUGCAAGUCGAACGGGACCCGCAAGGGUUCAGUGGCGGACGGGUGCGUAACACGUGAGGAACAUACCCAUCGGCGGGGAGUAGCCGGCCCAACGGCGGGUAAUACGCGUACGACGCUUGGGCGCCAUGCUCCGGGCGUGAAAGCAGCAAUGCGCCGAUGGAGUGCCUCGCGGCCUAUCAGCUUGUUGGUGGGGUCACGGCCCACCAAGGCUACGACGGGUAGCUGGUCUGAGAGGAUGAUCAGCCACA
rnacentral:rRNA from 1 species